CCCCGGGUAGCUCAGUCGGUUGAGCGUCUGACUUCAGCUCAGGUCACGAUCUCGAGGUUUGUGGGUUCUAGUCCCACAUCGGGCU
rnacentral:tRNA from 1 species